rnacentral:rRNA from 1 species
AUGGACCCGGAGCCGCGGCGGUGGGCGGCGACGUACACCACGCAGGUGAGGCAGAAGCGCAAGGCCUACCACGACGGGGUCCUCCUCCUCCGCCCGGACUCCCGCCGCCUCGUCCUCCUCGACGACGCCGGUGUCACCAUCGACGCCAGGUCCCUCCGCGCCGGCGAGUCCGUGUCCGAGGGCGCCUCCGUCGAGUUCCCGUGCCACCUCGUCGACGUCGGCGAGGCCCAGCGCGUCCCCACCACCGCCCGCCCCGGAAGGCCCUCCGAGCCCGCCGCUCCCAGAGCCGCCCACCGCGGCGGCGCCAGGGCGCGUCAGAGCGCGGCCAACACCUGCGCUCCCCGCGCGUUCGUGAAACCUCCCAAGAGCGGCGCCGGCAAGACCGAAGCCACGGGCUCCGGCUGCGCCAGGUCCGCCGGUUCGACGUCCCAAGAGUGGAGCGCGAUGUACACCACCCAGGUUUCGCAGAAGGCUAAGAGGUAUCACGACGGUUUCCUGAAGCUCGUUCAAUCUGGGUUGUAUUCCAAGCAGAUCGUUUUGCUGGAUGAAGAGGGCCAAGUACUGGGGACCAGGCACCUCAAGUCAGGGGAGUGUGUGGAAAGCGGCAAGAAAUGCAGUUUUCCUGGCUAUCUGAUUGAGAUCGGCAAGGCCACAAAUCUAAACAAAGGUGGAGAUCCUAAAUCUUCAGAAGAACACAUGAUGCAGACAAGACCAAAGGGAGUGGAGAAUGCGAAUAGCAAAAUGGGAAUUGGAACAACAAGUUCCCUGAAAUUCAUCAGUCCACAGAAGUUCCAUUGUUUUGACAAGAGUAAAUCAGAAGCCACUUCUGGUUCUAACAAGCCAGAGCUUGGAAAGAGUGAAGUUGCAGCUGCUGGCAGCACAGGGAGCCUUAUGGGUUCGGCAGACUCAAGUUUCAAAGAAGUGGAAUGGAGUGUCUUAUACACCGCCCAACUAAUUCAAAAGGCAAAGAAGUUUCAUGAUGGCGUUAUAAGGCUUGUCCAAGCUGGUCCAAAUGUAAAGCAGAUUCUUUUACUGGAUGAAGAAGGUGGAGUGCUUGGCACCAGAUAUUUCAAUUCAGGUGAAUCUAUUGAAUGUGGAAAGAGAUGUCAGUUUCCUAAUUAUAUUAUCGAAGUCACUGAGCUCAGAAAUAAAAUGAAAGAUGUAGAACAUACACAUGCUGCUGGGGAGGCUUCAAGUCACACAGUGCCUAAGAAUGGAGAGAAUACGCGUGAAAAGGAUGACAAAAGUAAAUCUCCAAAGUUUGUUAGUCCAUUCAGGCUCCAUGAUCAUCGGAAGACUAAAACAAGAAGCACUACCGACUCUAACAAGCCACAGGUCGGAAAAUCAGCAUGUAGUAACGUGGGCGAUCCACUUAACUAUCAUGUAUUUACAGAUCUUCAGAGGGGUAAACCAGAUUGCACGGUUGGUUACAGAAGAACAGACCUGGGGUCAACAUCUAGUGACAUCGAUAAUCAACAUAAAUUCAAUGAUUUUGCAGAUAACCAGAGGGGCACAUCAGAAUUUUCUACCAGCAAAUCAACAUUUAAUGACCUGGGAAAAUCAGCAUUUGGUGGCAUGGAUGAUCCACAUAAAUUUGAUGAUUUUGCAGACACCCAGAGGGGUACAUCAGGAUUUUCUACCAGUUAUAACCGGCCAGAAGUUGGCAAAUCAACAUUUAAUGACCUGGGAAAAUCAACAUUUGGUGGCAUGGAUGAUCCGCAUAAAUUUGAUGAUAUCCAUAGGGGUAAGUCAGGAUUUUCUACCAGCUAUAACCGGCCAGAAGUUGACAAAUCAAUUCUUAAUAGAAUGGAUGAUCCACUAAAAUUUUGUGGUCUUCGGGAUGGGAAAUCAGUGUGUCCCACUAGUUUUGUCGGGAGAGAGGUUGGAAAAUUAACAUUUGGCAACGCUGAUGAUUCUUUACGGACUGCUUCCCAAAUACUAUCUAUCAUGAAGCCCCCAGCUGGAUUGUCUCACUUCGCUACCCAGCUUCGUACAUCUGUGCAAUCUUGCUUGAAGCUGGAUACUGCACAGGCAAAGAACUCAGUAAUCACUCAUAAUAGGAAUGAAUUAUCAGGGAAUGCGUAUCGAAGUUACAAUCAUCAGGCCAUCAUGAAACCACCAGCUUUUGAUGCUUCGGACUUGGAAUUGAUAGAUCUCCCAGGAUCUGAGAUGUGCAAUGCAAACGAGCAGAAACUAGUAUCGUCAGGCAAUCUUAACACUGUAAACUGUAAUGGUACAGGUUCUGCGCCAAUUUCGAAUGUCACUAGCAUGCCAAACUUGCGAGAAGACAAAAGUGGAACUGCAGAUCAGCUCGGCGCAAAUAACACAGCAGAGGACCCCAAAUAUGACAGUGGCCCUUCUCGUACAUGUAGAGAUCCCACGAUCCAGGAUUUGAUAGAUGACUGCCCUUCUUUUGAUCUUGGCUUCUAA